rnacentral:tRNA from 1 species
GCCAGUAUGGCAUAGUGGUUUAAGUAUUGAACUAGGACUCUGGAGACCAGGGUUCGAUUCCCAACUUGGUCA